AUGUGAGUUACCUGGGGAGCUUGUUGACAUGCAGAUUCUGAUUCAGGAGAUAUGGGGUGAGGCCUGAGGAUCUGCAUUUCUAACAAGCUUCCAGGAGAUACUGAU
rnacentral:pre_miRNA from 1 species